rnacentral:rRNA from 1 species
GUGCAGCCGCCGCGGUAAUACCGGCAGCACGAGUGAUGGCCGAUUUUAUUGGGCCUAAAGCGUCCGUAGCCGGCCAGACAAGCCCGUUGGGAAAUCCACGCGCUCAACGCGUGGGCGUCCAGCGGAAACUAUCUGGCUUGGGGCCGGAAGACUCGAGGGGUACGUCCGGGGUAGGAGUGAAAUCCCGUAAUCCUGGACGGACCACCGGUGGCGAAAGCGCCUCGAGAAGACGGACCCGACGGUGAGGGACGAAAGCCAGGGUCUCGAACCGGAUUAGAAACCCCGGUAGUCC